UACAGAGGAUGCAAGCGUUAUCCGGAAUGAUUGGGCGUAAAGCGUCUGUAGGUGGCCUUUUAAGUCCGCCGUCAAAUCCCAGGGCUCAACUCUGGACAGGCGGUGGAAACUACCAAGCUGGAGUACGGUAGAGGCAGAUGGAAUUCCGGGUGUAGCGGUGGAAUGCGUAGAGAUCCGGAAGAACACCGACGGCGAAGGCAGCGUCCUGGCCGAGCACUGACGCUCAGGCACGAAAGCGCGGGGAGCGAACAGG
rnacentral:rRNA from 1 species